rnacentral:rRNA from 1 species
GACGAACGCUGGCGGCGUGCCUAAUACAUGCAAGUAGAACGCUGAAGCUUGGUGCUUGCACCGAGCGGAUGAGUUGCGAACGGGUGAGUAACGCGUAGGUAACCUGCCUGGUAGCGGGGGAUAACUAUUGGAAACGAUAGCUAAUACCGCAUAAAAUGGAUUAUCGCAUGAUAAUCCAUUGAAAGGUGCAAAUGCAUCACUACCAGAUGGACCUGCGUUGUAUUAGCUAGUUGGUGGGGUAACGGCUCACCAAGGCGACGAUACAUAGCCGACCUGAGAGGGUGAUCGGCCACACUGGGACUGAGACACGGCCCAGACUCCUACGGGAGGCAGCAGUAGGGAAUCUUCGGCAAUGGACGGAAGUCUGACCGAGCAACGCCGCGUGAGUGAAGAAGGUUUUCGGAUCGUAAAGCUCUGUUGUAAGAGAAGAGCGAGUGUGAGAGUGGAAAGUUCACACUGUGACGGUAUCUUACCAGAAAGGGACGGCUAACUACGUGCCAGCAGCCGCGGUAAUACGUAGGUCCCGAGCGUUGUCCGGAUUUAUUGGGCGUAAAGCGAGCGCAGGCGGUUAGAUAAGUCUGAAGUUAAAGGCUGUGGCUUAACCAUAGUACGCUUUGGAAACUGUUUAACUUGAGUGCAAGAGGGGAGAGUGGAAUUCCAUGUGUAGCGGUGAAAUGCGUAGAUAUAUGGAGGAACACCGGUGGCGAAAGCGGCUCUCUGGCUUGUAACUGACGCUGAGGCUCGAAAGCGUGGGGAGCAAACAGG